CCCCGUCCCGGCCUGAGCGGGACCCUAGGCGCCAGGAAGUGGGACAGUCGGUCUCAGUCUCCGCCCGGGCCCAGGGUCCCCCGAUCGAUGGAGGAGGCACUGUGAGAUAAACAGAUUCGCAACCGGAAGCAGCCCGGGCUGCGGUUCUCCGGGUGCAGCAGUGCGGGCAACCUGCUCAGCGCACCAGCACCGCCCGGACCUGCAGAAUCAGAAGAGAGAGAACAUAUACGUGUGUUUACUCCAUGGGCGGACAGCAGCCUCACAGCAGAUGAAAAGACCUGGCCACCUACACAGUCACCGAAGUCCCUGCGAUCUGAGUCAGGCAGAGCUGUCCCGCACCUCCUGUCCCCUGGUCAACAUCCCCAGCCGAGCAGCACGUGGGGCAGGGCGUGGACCUACACUGCAGCGGCAGCGUCACCCAGAGCCGCCAGUGCCAACGACAGCACGAUUUUGCCGUUGGGACAGCACACGCAGGACAAACCUUCUGCCUGCCACACCCGUGUCCUUCCCCCGACCCCGGCAACCGUUCUUGCCACUGUCACCGUAUUGGGCCUCUUCUGUGAAGUCACACAGCUGGACUUUUCGGACCGGCUUCCUCCACUUCUUCCCAGGAUUCAGCGUCCCUCUGAGUCUGUCUGUGCCCUGAAGGCUCAUCCUUUUUCAGCGCUGGAUAAUAUCCCAUGGCCUGGAUGUGCCGUAGUUUAUCCCCUGCCCCACUCCUGGACGACCUCCAGGUGUUCAAGGUCAGUCCGAGUUGUGGGCACGCACACAGCUGCUGUAAACGUCCGUGUGCAGGCUCACUCGGGCGUGGGGAGGAGGGGUUUAGCUCUGUGGGAAAUGGCCCGGCUGCCUUCCAAAGUGGCUCUGCCGCCUGCCACCCCCACAGCAGGGACUGAGACCCCGGGCCUACUGUGGCUGCUCUGACGGAUGUGCUCAUCCCCGGGGGCCACCACGGCCCUGCCUGCCCUGCCACUGACUCCAGGCCCUGGAUCCGGCCUCUGGUGCCUGGUGGGGUCCAGGUUUGAAGCCCUUUCCUCUGGGAAUGACAAGGACACUAGCUGUGUGUCCUGCUGGCCUCUUUGGGUGGGAAGGGGUGGUGUUCGUGUCGUCCACGUCCUCAGGGACGCCUCGUUCCCUGGCUGCCAAGCCCGGCUCCUCCCUGGUAAGGGGCGCAUGGUGGGCGCUCAGGAAGCCCUUCCGGAUGGUGAGCUUCAACACCGCUGUGAUCGACAAGAAGAUCCCAGGAGGGCAAGCAAUAUGGAAGUUACCCAGCGAAUGGCAGAGAAUGCUUGUCUGAAGUGUCACUGCCAAGUGCCCCUGCUCUUCUCCCCACCUGAGAACCCUAACUCACCUGCCACCUCUCCCAGAGCGCCAGCUUUGCAGUAA
rnacentral:lncRNA from 1 species